AUUACACGAAAUCACCAACGUGACCAAAGUAAUUCAGAAAAAUGUGUGAGCUCUUAUACUUAAAUCUGUGUUAAAAAAGACUGAGUUUUUCUUUUUUUCUCUAUGUACUUUAUACUUUACUUUCAAGCUCCGAUCUACUAGAACAAAGGCUGACUGGAACUUCCCUUUACAGUCUUAAACUUACAUGAAGGAUGAAUAGUAUUCUCAUCCAUCCCUACUUUUUUUGCCUCUAUCUUUUCAAUUUAUGUUGAAAGAGACUAGGCCAAAGAUAUUUUAAGAUGUCUAUGUAUAGCUACAUUAUAAAGAUUAGAUGGGUUCUAAAAUUGUGAUUUAAUAAAUGUAACUAUAAUUAUAUAAUUUAUAAUAUACCAAACAACUAGUAAUACAUUAGAUCAGUCCAUUUUUCCAGUUUUUCAGGACACAGAUAUUUCUGCCAUUUUAUAAAUUAAAGAUUUUGAGUUACUUUAAUAUUUGGGGUUGUAACAUACUUCUCAAGGUUAUUAAAAUGUAGUUAAAAUCUGCUCUCACUGUAAAGUGUUAAAAUUCAGAAGAAUAUUUGAUACCAUUUUUUCCCUCUUGUUAAAUGCCAUGUUUGAAUUUGCUGUGAAAUUAGAGAAAUUUAAUUUUCUCAGGUUGGGAUAGGGUACUUAAUAAAUGAUUAAUGAUGGGAUUAAGUUGUUAAAUUUUCUAAAAAUUGAAAUGAAUAUAAAUGCACAAUUAACAUAAAUUUGAGUAACCAAAGUCAAUUUUUAGUUAGAUUCUCCCUUUUUUUCUUAAUAGGAUUACUAGAAAGAUUUGAAACUUAAAUAUAAUCAACUCCUAAAGUUCACAUAAAUGUGACUAAUAUAAAGCACAUCUUGAUAAAUUAGUAUGUGUUAUCAUGCCUCAUAAUUAACAAGGAAUUAGAAAUUAAAUUUGUUUAUACGAACUUCUAAAAUAUAGAGGAAAAAUAAACGGCAACUGGAUCCCUUAAUAGCCCUAUAGAUAAUAAAAAUCAGAGAUUGAUUUAAAAUAAAUGCAUACCAAAAAAUACUUUGAAUGCUUCAGAUCUACUUUAAAGUAUUUUGCUAUUUAUUUUUUCUCUUUAUUUUAGAACAAAAUUUAUGAAUAGAAAUGUGGCAUAUAAAUUGGAACUGUUAUGAUGUGUGUUUCAUAUUUCUGGAUUUGGAGACAUGUUCUAAUUUUAAUCUGUAUGUAUCUUCCCUUUAGUUAUUAUUUAUUUUUAUUUUUCUUUUAUUAAUAGAGAUAGAAGUAUUUCUGCACCCAAUCCAAUUAACUGGAAAAAGGUCAUAUAAGAACAUGAAAAGUCUAAUCCCAGUAUGGCCAAAAUAGGUUUGCCAACAUGGGCUAGGCCGGUAAGGAGGGAAGAGACAGGGACAGGGCAGAGGCUCCUCAGGAGGCCUUCCCUCUUUAGACCUCUUUUGGGGGUCGCCGGGGUCCUGACCCCCAGGUGCAGGUCGUCCUGGGAGGAAGGGUGGCACCAGAGUACUGGAUGCUGGCAUAAGAGCGAGUCUGAGCAGCUCACUCCAUGCCACAUCUCCCGCAGCAGUGACUUCCGGCAGGAACUGAGUCUGUACCGCGAGAAUCUUAAACACCCGCGAGUGCCCUUUCAAGCCUGCUGGGGAAUGCGCUCCCUUUCCCCAAACGUCCCUUGGUUCCCCCGUCGACCUACCCGUCCGAGGGUCCUGGGUACCCAACGCCGCCACGUCUGGCACCUCAACUCACAUCUGGCGUCUCAACUGUCGCGUGGCGCCUCGGCCAGAGGUCCCACAAGGUGGCGCAGCCUUUCCGUGGCGCCCAAGAGCCCGCAGGCGCGGGUGGCUUGGCCCGCGUGGGCUCCGAACUGCGGCGGCUCCGCUAGACAGUUGCAGAAGCUGGCGGACGGCCGGGACCCCCUGCCUUGCGCAGCCAGGCGUCGAGGAGGCGGCGGCGAGUGCUGCGGUGCUGGCUGGGUGGCCGAGUGGUCCCCGCAGCCUCUGGACCCAGCCAUGCUGCUCUGGAUGCAGGGCUUCGUGCUGGAGGCGGUGGCCUGCCAGGAUAACGAUGACUACUUACGCUACGGGAUCCUCUUCGAAGACCUGGAUUGCAAUGGGGACGGCGUGGUGGACAUCAUUGAGCUCCAGGAGGGGCUGAGAAACUGGAGCUCCGCGUUUGACCCCAACUCCGAGGAGCAUGGAUAGUGAUGGAUCAAUGACAGUAGACUGGGAUGAAUGGAAGUACUACUUUUUACUGCAUCCUGCAACAAAUAUCACUGAAAUGAUUCAUUUCUGGAAGCAUUCUACUGUGGCGUGCCCUUGGAAAGCUAUCAGGAAUCAGGAUGUGUCCUAAGGGAGCAGAGGCCCAGUUACUGAGGAAGCUGUUUUAUAUUUCCACCUGCAACACAGAAUUUUCAGCUCCUGCUCUUACCUAAGGACUGACUGAACUGAGUCACCUAUCUGAAAAGAAUAUAGAUCACAGAUGGAAUCAAACAUGCGGAAGGAUGAUGGGUUAUGUGUCUUACCAUCUAAUGCCAUUCAAAGUAUGUUCCCUACACUUAGCCCACUGAAUUAAAGGUUUAUCUCCAUGGGAUGCAUUAACCAGAAUCUCAACCUAUAUUUAUGUAAGAAAUAUUAGGCAUGGGGGGAAUAGUAUUUACUCCCCUUGGUGCUCCCACAGUACUAUGUGUAUCAUCUGUCUGGGUAGAUAGCACUUAUAUCACAUUUUAUUAUUACCUAUCUAACUAACUAUUGUCCAAGAAAGCUUGUAAAUUCUCUAAGGACAAAAACUAUGUCUAACAUUUUCCUAUAGUCCCUAAUGCCUAUUAAAGCAGCUAGUAUAUAAUUGGCCCUAAAUAAAUAUAUGUGGAAUUAAUGAAGUCUUUUCCCUUGCAAAACCUAUCCUUCUAACAACCUAUAUUUUCCAUAAAUGAUAUAUUUAUAUAAGUUUAAUUCCUAAUUAAGAUAAAUCAUUUUUUAGAAUGAGACAGAAGUAUAAACUAAAUAGUUCUUAAACAUGUGACACUAAAGUUAUUACACAAUUAAUUCACAUUGUAUAAUAACUGUUCAUAAUGCAUUACUAAAAUGUCACCAACAUUACCGAAAAGCAAAAGAUAGUAAAACACCCACAUAUGUGAAUUUAAUUUGAAAUUUAAGUUAAUUAGGUUGUGGAUGAUUAAUUUUUAUAUCCUUGCAGAGAAAGUAUUCAGCAAAUAUCAAACUUUAAUUGUGGAUUCUACUUAUGAUAAUUAACACAUUAAGCCAUGCACUAUUUUAUAACUACUGUUGACAAUCCAUUAUUCAAUGAAAUAAAUGUAAUUAAACAAAAUAUAAUAAUAGACUCUAAACUUAUUUUCUGCCUCUUGGAAAUAUUUUUAGUAAUUAAAUGGUAGAAUAGAACCAUGCUAUUAUGUUGGUGCCAGGGUUAGAGAUAACCAAUACAAAGUCUAAUGGUAUCUUCUCAUUUCUUUCAUAAAUUUAGUUCCAUUUUUGAAAAAAAUUCUAAUAGAGUGGUUCUAUUAUUAUUUAAAAUAAAAAUUAACUUGAAUACACAGUAGCUUCUUUAAGAAAAUUAAGAAAUCUUUUAAUAUUGAAAAUUAGCAUUUACAUUUUCAGGAAAAUGUAAAAUUUUAAUGAGAAGUAGUAUAUGAGAAAACAUUUUUUUAAAACCUUUUUUGAAAGCUGCCAAAGACUUUUCAAGUUACUUUAACUCUUAAAGGGUAGGUAAGGCGAGCAAAAAACCUGCAUCAUGACUUUCAAGCGGUCUAAAGGUGCCGUGCAUGUCCGUGCAACCGCACUAGCUAUUCCUGCUGACACCAAACGCUUCCACCAAUCUCCAGACUGCUUUUCUUGUUCGGUAAAUUCAUCUGGAAUAGCUAUACUCUCUCCUAUAUCAAUUAACUGAUAAAUAGGAAGAAUUAUUAGACAAUAAACAAAAGUGUAAACACUUGAUAAAUUAUAAGGAUAGCUUUCUACAAGGAGCAAAGAUAACUUUUUACAAGGACCAAAAAUCCAAAGAUUUUUUUCAUGCCACUUCCUGUUACUGAAGAUCAACAAUUUUCUUAGCACCUGUACUACAUCAAGUGAUUUUUAAUAAUGCAUUGACAUAUAGAUUUAAUGUAAAAUCAAUUAAAUUAGAGCAAUUAUUAAUUUAAAAUUCUCAAACUAUUUAGUUAAUCUGUUCUCUGAAAAAUGUAAACCCUGAGUACAGGGAUUACAUACCAGCCACUCAUCACAAUGUCUGCCACAUACUAGGCAAGGAAUAAAUAAUAAAUAUUCCUUGCUUUAUUUCAAAUUCUCUCAAACUCCUUUAAUUACUUAAACCUAAGUCAAAAUUCAAGAGUAGCAUCUUAUAUGAUUUGAUUAAAUUUCUUUAUUAUUUGCAUUGACUCCUUCUUCAAAUGUCAGUUUCCUUUUUAAAAGUCUAUACUCUAACCACUUUUGCAUUUUACUUUAUUUUCAGUGAUCAUACUUGCUUAUGACAAGAUGAUCACUUUUUUCUAAAUGAUGAGGCAAUGUGGUUUAGUGCAGAAGUUAGUUUCUGCCCUCUAGGAAUUUACAGAGUAAUAAAAGAGAUAGGAAAGGAAAAAAAGCAAUUAUAAUACAGAGAAAAUAAGUAAAAUAACAAGGGUAGCAAAUAAAGGUGUCUUAAGAAGACAGUAUAGAGGCUGGAGGCAAAGCAAGAAGGCAGAAGACUCUACCCAUCAUCCCCCUGCAAGGACACCAAUUCAACAAUUAUCUACCCAAAUAAAACACCUUCAUAAGAACUAAAAAUCAGAUGAGCCCUCAUAGUAACUGAUUUCAGCUUUGUAUCACUGAACGAGGCAGUGAAGAGAUAGAACAAACAGCCUUAAAUCGCUGGCACCAUCCCUGCUACACCCCAACAGUGGUGGCAAGGUACGGGGAGUGUCUCUGGGCACUGGGGGAGGGAGAGCACAGCAAUUGUGAGGCAUUAAACUCAGUGCUGUCCUGUUAAAGAAGAAAGGAAAAGUGAACUGAACUCAGCGGACACCCACCCAUGGAAGAAAUAAGAUGUAUGUGUGUGCAAGUGUGUGUGUGUGUGUGUGUGUGUGUGUGUAUGUGUGCAUAUGUGUUUUUGAGACAGGGUCUUACUCUGUUGCCCAGGCUGGAGUGCAGUGGUGUGAUCAUGGCUGACUGCAGCCUCGAUCUCCCUGGGCUCAGGUGAUCCUUCCACUUCAGCCUCCCAAGUAGCUGGGACCAUAGGCAUGCGCCACCACAAGGCUAAUUUUUGUAUUUUAGUAGAGAUGGGGUUUCACCACGUUGCCCAGGCUGGUCUCAAACUCCUGGACUCAAGCAAUACUCCCAUCUUGGGCUCCCAAAGUGCUGGGAUUACAGGUGUGAGCAACUAUGCCCAGCCAGAGAGAGCAUUUAAACCAGCCCUAGCCAGAGGAGAACUAUUAAUACCAGUGGUACAAACUUGAGUUCCCACAAACCUUACCACCAUUAGGCCACGCUGCACUGGGUCUCUAAGUAAACUGGAAACACAGUGUAGACCAUAAGGACUUCAAUUGCUAGGUGAAUCCUAGUGCUGAACUGGGCCCAGAGACAGGACUAGCGGAAAUCUCAAGACCUACUCAGACAGCAGCUGAGGUGGCUAAGGGAGGGCUGACAUCGUCCAACCCCUAACCCCAGGCUGCACAUCUUACGGCACCAAAAGAGACCCCUUCCUUCCACCUGAGAAGAGGAGAGGGAAGAGUGGGGAGGACUUUAUCCUGCAUCUUGAAUACUAGCUCAGCCACAGGAGGAUAGGGCACCACUCAGAGUUGCAAGGCUCCUGUUCCAGGCCCUACCUCCUGGAUGACAUUUCUAGACACACCCUUGGCCAGAAGAGAAUCUGUUGCCUUGAAGGGUAGGACUCGGUCCUGGCAGCAUUCAUCACAUGCUAACUGAAGAACCCCUAGGCCCUGAAUAACCAGUAGUGAUACCCAAGAACUAUGUCAAGAGCCUUAGGUAAGCCUAUGAGACUUCAGGUGAGACUGAGUAUAUUACAAGCUGUGGUGGGUACAAGGCAAAACUCCUUCUGCUUGAAAAAAGCAUAGGGAAAAGUAAAGGAAACUUAGGCACCGGCAUGGCCACAGUGGGGGAAGGGGGUAGAGCACUAAAUGGGCUCUUUAGGCCCCUGAUUCCAAGACUUGACUCUUGGAUGGCAUUUCUUGACCUGCUGUGGACCAGAGCUGACCUGAAAGAUCAGGCAGCAUUCACCACAAGUGGACUUAAGAGACCUUGGGCCUUAAGAGAAAACUGGCAGUAGUCUGGCAGUAUCCCAGUAUUCCCCAUGGCCUGUAGUGGUGGUGGCCUUUGGAAAGGGGAGGGAAGAGUGGGAAAGACUGUAUCUUGUGGUUUCACCGCUUUAGGUGGCUCAAAACAGAAAAGAGACUUUGUUAGUUUGGGGAAAAGUAAAGGAAGAGAAGAAGAGUCUCUUCCUGGUAAUCCAGAGAAUUCUCCUGGAUCUUGUCCAAGACCAUUAAGGCAGUACCUCUAUGAGUGUGCAAGAACCACAGGCUUACUGGGUUUUGGGUGCCCUCUAAAACAGAUACAGCUUAGAUCACAACACUCAAGUUCUUUCAAAUAACUGGAAAGCCUUCCCAAGAAGAACAGGUACAAACCAGCCUAGACAGUGAAGACUAUAAUGAAAACCUAACUUUUCAAUGCUGAGACACCAAAGAACAUCUGCUGGCAUCAACACCAUUCAGAAAAACACAACCUCACCAAAUGAACUAAAUAAGGCACCAAAGACCAAUCCAGAAGAAACAGAUGUGUGACCUUUCAGACACAGAAUUCAAAAUAAUUUUCAGGAAACUCAAAGAAAUUCAAGAUAACACAGGGAAGGAAUUCAGAAUUCUAUCAGACGAAUUUAACAAAGAGAUUAAAAUAAUUAAAAUGAAUCAAGAAGAAAUUCUGGAGCUAAAAAAUGCAACUGGCAUACUGAAGAAUGGAUCAGAGUCUUUUAAUAGCAGAAUUGGUCAAGCCGAAGAAUUAGUGAGCUUGAAGACAGGCUAUUUGAAAACACAAAGAAGAAACAAAACGAAAAAAAAAAAAAAAGAAUAAAAAA